rnacentral:lncRNA from 1 species
CGAGGAUGUGCUCUAUCCCUGCAACACCAGCCCUCUGGCUCUCGCUCAGAAUUGCCAGGUGCUUCCCUCCCCAGGGCCUUUGCAUGUGCCAUUCUCUCUGCCCAGAGCACUUUGCUGAGGCUAGAUUGUUCCUGUACCUCCUCUGGGGCUCUGCUUAAUGUCAUGGCCAGGGAGGCCCUGGCCCCCACAGCCACCCUUGCUGAGCUGGUCUCCGUAACUCUUGCCGCUGCCUAAUACACCACGGUUUUCCUUAUUUACCUGUCGACCCUUGCAGGAUGAAGUUUCAGUUUUGCCUCUCUUUGUCAUGACUGUGUCUCCUGCCUAUACCAAAGCAGCCGGCACAAGAAGGUGCACCACCAAGAGCUGUACAGUGGGUGAAUGAAUGAAUCAAUAAAUAAACAAGAAGUGCUCAGCACCAGGUCCUGUACUUAACGCAGCGUGAGCCCUAGGGCGACACUUCGUGCCGAAGAGAAGCUCUGGAUGCUUCCGGCCGUCGGGACCGGGGUCGCCUCCAGGAAGAAGGGAUCCCCGGCUCUUGGUGGACUGCACCCCACCACGCCCAGAGACGGCAGAGCAGUGACACGCAAAGCCCCAGCACUGCGGAGAUCGCAAACACAGAGUCGUCCAAAGGUGUGCUGCGUCCUUCUGGAUCCCACUGCUCCUGCCCCACCGCCCGCUCCCUCUCCCAGCAGCCCUGGGGUCCCCUCCAGCGUGGUGUCUGAGUGGAAUCGUCCAGUGGAUGCUUGCUUGGCCUUCUCUACCUCCACAUCAAAAAGCCCUCUUCACCGCCUUCCUUCAGACUGUGGAGGCCAGGACAGCUGA